rnacentral:rRNA from 1 species
CAUAGGUUAAUGAGGCGAACCGGGGGAACUGAAACAUCUAAGUACCCCGAGGAAAAGAAAUCAACCGAGAUUCCCCCAGUAGCGGCGAGCGAACGGGGAGGAGCCCAGAGCCUGAAUCAGUGUGUGUGUUAGUGGAAGCGUCUGGAAAGGCGCGCGAUACAGGGUGACAGCCCCGUACACAAAAAUGCACAUAUUGUGAGCUCGAUGAGUAGGGCGGGACACGUGGUAUCCUGUCUGAAUAUGGGGGGACCAUCCUCCAAGGCUAAAUACUCCUGACUGACCGAUAGUGAACCAGUACCGUGAGGGAAAGGCGAAAAGAACCCCGGCGAGGGGAGUGAAAAAGAACCUGAAACCGUGUACGUACAAGCAGUGGGAGCCUCUUAAUGGGGUGACUGCGUACCUUUUGUAUAAUGGGUCAGCGACUUAUAUUCUGUAGCAAGGUUAACCGAAUAGGGGAGCCGAAGGGAAACCGAGUCUUAACUGGGCGUUAAGUUGCAGGGUAUAGACCCGAAACCCGGUGAUCUAGCCAUGGGCAGGUUGAAGGUUGGGUAACACUAACUGGAGGACCGAACCGACUAAUGUUGAAAAAUUAGCGGAUGACUUGUGGCUGGGGGUGAAAGGCCAAUCAAACCGGGAGAUAGCUGGUUCUCCCCGAAAGCUAUUUAGGUAGCGCCUCGUGAAUUCAUCUCCGGGGGUAGAGCACUGUUUCGGCAAGGGGGUCAUCCCGACUUACCAACCCGAUGCAAACUGCGAAUACCGGAGAAUGUUAUCACGGGAGACACACGGCGGGUGCUAACGUCCGUCGUGAAGAGGGAAACAACCCAGACCGCCAGCUAAGGUCCCAAAGUCAUGGUUAAGUGGGAAACGAUGUGGGAAGGCCCAGACAGCCAGGAUGUUGGCUUAGAAGCAGCCAUCAUUUAAAGAAAGCGUAAUAGCUCACUGGUCGAGUCGGCCUGCGCGGAAGAUGUAACGGGGCUAAACCAUGCACCGAAGCUGCGGCAGCGACACUAUGUGUUGUUGGGUAGGGGAGCGUUCUGUAAGCCUGUGAAGGUGGCCUGUGAGGGUUGCUGGAGGUAUCAGAAGUGCGAAUGCUGACAUAAGUAACGAUAAAGCGGGUGAAAAGCCCGCUCGCCGGAAGACCAAGGGUUCCUGUCCAACGUUAAUCGGGGCAGGGUGAGUCGACCCCUAAGGCGAGGCCGAAAGGCGUAGUCGAUGGGAAACAGGUUAAUAUUCCUGUACUUGGUGUUACUGCGAAGGGGGGACGGAGAAGGCUAUGUUGGCCGGGCGACGGUUGUCCCGGUUUAAGCGUGUAGGCUGGUUUUCCAGGCAAAUCCGGAAAAUCAAGGCUGAGGCGUGAUGACGAGGCACUACGGUGCUGAAGCGACAAAUGCCCUGCUUCCAGGAAAAGCCUCUAAGCAUCAGGUAACAUCAAAUCGUACCCCAAACCGACACAGGUGGUCAGGUAGAGAAUACCAAGGCGCUUGAGAGAACUCGGGUGAAGGAACUAGGCAAAAUGGUGCCGUAACUUCGGGAGAAGGCACGCUGAUAUGUAGGUGAAGCGACUUGCUCGUGGAGCUGAAAUCAGUCGAAGAUACCAGCUGGCUGCAACUGUUUAUUAAAAACACAGCACUGUGCAAACACGAAAGUGGACGUAUACGGUGUGACGCCUGCCCGGUGCCGGAAGGUUAAUUGAUGGGGUUAGCGGUAACGCGAAGCUCUUGAUCGAAGCCCCGGUAAACGGCGGCCGUAACUAUAACGGUCCUAAGGUAGCGAAAUUCCUUGUCGGGUAAGUUCCGACCUGCACGAAUGGCGUAAUGAUGGCCAGGCUGUCUCCACCCGAGACUCAGUGAAAUUGAACUCGCUGUGAAGAUGCAGUGUACCCGCGGCAAGACGGAAAGACCCCGUGAACCUUUACUAUAGCUUGACACUGAACAUUGAGCCUUGAUGUGUAGGAUAGGUGGGAGGCUUUGAAGUGUGGACGCCAGUCUGCAUGGAGCCGACCUUGAAAUACCACCCUUUAAUGUUUGAUGUUCUAACGUGGGCCCCUUACCGGGGUUGCGGACAGUGUCUGGUGGGUAGUUUGACUGGGGCGGUCUCCUCCUAAAGAGUAACGGAGGAGCACGAAGGUUGGCUAAUCCUGGUCGGACAUCAGGAGGUUAGUGCAAUGGCAUAAGCCAGCUUGACUGCGAGCGUGACGGCGCGAGCAGGUGCGAAAGCAGGUCAUAGUGAUCCGGUGGUUCUGAAUGGAAGGGCCAUCGCUCAACGGAUAAAAGGUACUCCGGGGAUAACAGGCUGAUACCGCCCAAGAGUUCAUAUCGACGGCGGUGUUUGGCACCUCGAUGUCGGCUCAUCACAUCCUGGGGCUGAAGUAGGUCCCAAGGGUAUGGCUGUUCGCCAUUUAAAGUGGUACGCGAGCUGGGUUUAGAACGUCGUG